UACAGAGGUCCCAAGCGUUGUUCGGAUUCACUGGGCGUAAAGGGUGCGUAGGUGGCCGGGUAAGUUUGAUGUGAAAGCUCGGAGCUUAACUCCGAAAUGGCAUUGAAUACUAUCCGGCUCGAGGGUCGGAGGGGAGACUGGAAUUCUCGGUGUAGCAGUGAAAUGCGUAGAUAUCGAGAGGAACACCAGUGGCGAAGGCGAGUCUCUGGACGACUCCUGACACUGAGGCACGAAAGCUAGGGGAGCAAACAGG
rnacentral:rRNA from 1 species